GAGGGACAGUCUUCCUUUAAUUCAAUGGUGUACAUUCCAGGAAAGGGACACUUUGUCUGUAGUAAAAUCUGUUUAUAUCCCAAUAGAAGGCUAGUCAUUAUUGCCUAACUACUUACUGUAAUGACACUCUGCGUUUUACAGCUUAUUACAGAGGUAAUUAGGCCACUCUGCGUUACCGUUGAUCCUGCAGAGAGGGCGUUUCAUUCAAAUUAGUAGUUUUAGUUAAUUUGGA